UAUAGUUUAUUUGAUAGUACCUUACUACUUGGAUAUCCGUAGUAAUUCUAGAGCUAAUACAUGCGUCAACUCCCAACUGCCUCGGCGGACGGGAUGUAUUUAUUAGAUCGAAACCAAUGCGGCAGCAAUGUCGGAUCUUGGUGAGUUAUAAUAACUGUGCGGAUCGCACGGCCUUGCGCCGGCGACAGAUCAUUCAGGUUUCUGCCCUAUCAGCUUCCGAUGGUAGUGUAUUGGACUACCAUGGCUUUAACGGGUAACGGAGAAUUAGGGUUCGAUUCCGGAGAGGGAGCCUGAGAGACGGCUACCACA
rnacentral:rRNA from 1 species